GUCCAUGAACUCCAACAGCGAACACUCUCACCUCUGUGACAUUUAACAAAAACACUUAAGCAGAAAAUAAAAGGAAUGAUUCGAAAAGCGACAUGUACCUCUCUGCAUAAAGCAUUUUAAUACUAUUUGGGGACAUGCGAAGGAAGAGCGAACAGAUAAAAUGGAAUGAAGAAGCGCUCGUCAAGAAGCCGAGUGAGCAGUAUGCGAUCUGGCAGAACCUGCCCAGUUCUGAUAAGUGUCCUCCGCGUUCUCCCCGCGCUGAGCCUGUUUUCCAACUGCCAACCCCUCUCACUUCCAGACCGUGCCCCCGCCCCCCAUCUACUCAGGACAGUUGACAAAGGCCACGACAGCUGUGCAUGACAGGUAACGACCAGUCCUUUCCCACCAAGAAGACUGCCUUGCCUCUGGUGACCAAGGGCCAGCAAAAGAGGGAAAGUUAUUUCUUACUCUUGAGAUGCCAGGAUCACAGUGCCCCCAGGACUUGGGACUGUCAUCCUUCAUGCUGAACUAGUUCACGGGGACUGUAGCGAAGAUUAGUAGAUGCUUGGCCUCAUUGGCAUCAGCGCAGAGAUGAAACCCAGCCACAUGCUGGAUGAAGUGGAUGGCCUGCGAAGUGAAGAGCCUCGGAUAGACUUUGGGAGGCCAGACCGUCCCUGGGUUGCCUGGUUAAUCUUGGAAGAGCAUUUAUUUCUGCCCGUUGCAACUCUGUCUUCUCCCUACCCUGCUGUCUAAAGGGGGUUAUUGGUACUGGGUUUUCCAAUUGCUUUCGGGAGGUGUCAGUGUUGAAAACACGUUAACCAGACUACACAUGAAGAGCACUCUCUUUGCCUUUUGCCAGGAGGCUGUGGUUUGUCCCCUGCCCAGCCCGGUCCACCUUCCAACAUACUGGGGAUGGGCUCUGCCUUCAUUCCUCUGUCUGCUAGAACAAAUUACCACAGAUGGGGGGCUUACGCAGCAACAAUCAUGUCUUACAGUUCUGGAGAUGAGAAAGUGCAGGAAUCAGGGGCUGCCAGAGCCAGCGUCCAGUGAGGACCCUCCUCCUGGCUUGCACAUGGCCGUCUUCUUGCUGUGUCUUCUCAUAGUGGACAGCAGAGAGAACAAGCACUCUCUCCUGUCUCUUCUUAUGAGGCCAUUCAACCCAUUCACGAGGGCUCCACCCUCAUGACACAUCACCUCCAAAGACCCAGCUCCUACCACCGUCACAUUGGGCGUUAGGCUUCACCAUGGGAAUUGCAGGGGGGACACAAACAUUCAUUCCAUAAGAGGUUCUUUAAUGAGGCUUUGAAGGUUUUUCAAGUGAGUCCAAACAGUGUCUAUACCCAUAGUGGGUCAUUUCCUUGGGAGCAUCUUUGUUCCGACUCAAAGACCACUCUCCCAAAUGUGGCCCCGUCGGCUGGGUGUGUGCACCCCAUGUUUAGCAGAGAUGCUGUUGAAUUAGAGUAACAAGUGAGAAAGUGAGUCUAGAGGAAAGGUCCCAGGCAGAUUUUGAACACAGCCUUGAACAAAGAUAUUAUUACUUUUUACUUUUAUUUCAACUUGAUUUUCAUAAGCUUUCCCUUUGUUUUCCCAUAGCAUAGCGCUCCAUCUAAUUGAUUUACUUAUCAGCCAAUUGAAAAGGAAGAGCCAACAAAUCCCAGAGUUUAAUAAGGACACAAGUUUAUAUCUAAGGGGGAGCUCACAAAAGGAAGACUAUGCAUGGUUUUAUCAAGAAGUUGGCGCAGGCCUCUUGCUCUGUGCCAGGCACUGGGCACGGGGUGAAGAUGACAAGCAGGAUGGAAUCGGAGUCCCUGCAUGAAGCAGCCUGCCCUCCACAAUCACACCUUGGUGCACCUUAGUUUUCACUGACGUUAUAUAGACCUUGUGUUGUAUGUAUUAAAAUGUGCUUUGGGCCAUAGGUCUGAUACAUCUGUGCACAGUCAGUGAAUCUACAUAAUAUCCCAAUCCAGAAACAAAUAGGGAGUCAGGCUAAAUUUUGCCAUAUUCAUAUUCAUAUUCAUUCACUCACUCAUCCAUUCACUCACUCACUCAUUCACUCAUUCAUUCAUUCAUUCACCAUUCAUCAUUCAUCAUUCAUUCAUUCCAUGCCAGAAAGGACUGCCUCCCCAUGAAAGCCAGCAUGGGGUGAGGGGGAUCUCUCCGGAGUCACCUGAGCCCCCUCCCAUUUCUCAAGUGGAGCAAAGCCCCCGUUCGUCUCUAGUCAACUCAUCUAAGAGAGCGGCUGCCUCACUUCAAUUAAGUUUGAAUUAAUUCUUGCUGGUUUCCUUUACAAAAACAUCCAGGUUUUAAUUGUUUCACCUAAUUACUGGACUGCGACCCAGAUUUAAGACCUGACACAGGUGAUAGAAAACGAUGGGUUUCCUUUGAUUAUAUUCACUUAUUGUCUCAAGAGCUUUUCGGAGCAGACUAUUCCUCCUUUUUGUUACUCCUUAUUUAUAAGUCUGACCUUCCAGACUCUCCGACUGAAUGAAAUUUCCCUAAAUAAACAUGAGAU